ensembl:snRNA U2 U2 spliceosomal RNA
AUCGCUUCUCGGCCUUUUGGCUAAGAUCAAGUGUAGUAUCUGUUCUUAUCAGUUUAAUAUCUGAUAUGUCCUCUAUUUGAGGACUAUAUAUUAAAUGGAUUUUUGGAGCUGGGAGAUGGAAUAGGGGCUUGCUCCGUCCACUCCAUGCAUCGACCUGGUAUUGCAGUACCUCCAGGAACGGUGCACCUCCC